rnacentral:rRNA from 1 species
GGUUAAGCGACUAAGCGUACACGGUGGAUGCCCUGGCAGUCAGAGGCGAUGAAGGACGUGCUAAUCUGCGAUAAGCGUCGGUAAGGUGAUAUGAACCGUUAUAACCGGCGAUUUCCGAAUGGGGAAACCCAGUGUGUUUCGACACACUAUCAUUAACUGAAUCCAUAGGUUAAUGAGGCGAACCGGGGGAACUGAAACAUCUAAGUACCCCGAGGAAAAGAAAUCAACCGAGAUUCCCCCAGUAGCGGCGAGCGAACGGGGAGCAGCCCAGAGCCUGAAUCAGUGUGUGUGUUAGUGGAAGCGUCUGGAAAGGCGUGCGAUACAGGGUGACAGCCCCGUACACAAAAAUGCACAUGCUGUGAGCUCGAUGAGUAGGGCGGGACACGUGGUAUCCUGUCUGAAUAUGGGGGGACCAUCCUCCAAGGCUAAAUACUCCUGACUGACCGAUAGUGAACCAGUACCGUGAGGGAAAGGCGAAAAGAACCCCGGCGAGGGGAGUGAAAAAGAACCUGAAACCGUGUACGUACAAGCAGUGGGAGCACGCUUAGGCGUGUGACUGCGUACCUUUUGUAUAAUGGGUCAGCGACUUAUAUUCUGUAGCAAGGUUAACCGAAUAGGGGAGCCGAAGGGAAACCGAGUCUUAACUGGGCGUUAAGUUGCAGGGUAUAGACCCGAAACCCGGUGAUCUAGCCAUGGGCAGGUUGAAGGUUGGGUAACACUAACUGGAGGACCGAACCGACUAAUGUUGAAAAAUUAGCGGAUGACUUGUGGCUGGGGGUGAAAGGCCAAUCAAACCGGGAGAUAGCUGGUUCUCCCCGAAAGCUAUUUAGGUAGCGCCUCGUGAAUUCAUCUCCGGGGGUAGAGCACUGUUUCGGCAAGGGGGUCAUCCCGACUUACCAACCCGAUGCAAACUGCGAAUACCGGAGAAUGUUAUCACGGGAGACACACGGCGGGUGCUAACGUCCGUCGUGAAGAGGGAAACAACCCAGACCGCCAGCUAAGGUCCCAAAGUCAUGGUUAAGUGGGAAACGAUGUGGGAAGGCCCAGACAGCCAGGAUGUUGGCUUAGAAGCAGCCAUCAUUUAAAGAAAGCGUAAUAGCUCACUGGUCGAGUCGGCCUGCGCGGAAGAUGUAACGGGGCUAAACCAUGCACCGAAGCUGCGGCAGCGACACUAUGUGUUGUUGGGUAGGGGAGCGUUCUGUAAGCCUGUGAAGGUGUGCUGUGAGGCAUGCUGGAGGUAUCAGAAGUGCGAAUGCUGACAUAAGUAACGAUAAAGCGGGUGAAAAGCCCGCUCGCCGGAAGACCAAGGGUUCCUGUCCAACGUUAAUCGGGGCAGGGUGAGUCGACCCCUAAGGCGAGGCCGAAAGGCGUAGUCGAUGGGAAACAGGUUAAUAUUCCUGUACUUGGUGUUACUGCGAAGGGGGGACGGAGAAGGCUAUGUUGGCCGGGCGACGGUUGUCCCGGUUUAAGCGUGUAGGCUGGUUUUCCAGGCAAAUCCGGAAAAUCAAGGCUGAGGCGUGAUGACGAGGCACUACGGUGCUGAAGCAACAAAUGCCCUGCUUCCAGGAAAAGCCUCUAAGCAUCAGGUAACAUCAAAUCGUACCCCAAACCGACACAGGUGGUCAGGUAGAGAAUACCAAGGCGCUUGAGAGAACUCGGGUGAAGGAACUAGGCAAAAUGGUGCCGUAACUUCGGGAGAAGGCACGCUGAUAUGUAGGUGAAGCGACUUGCUCGUGGAGCUGAAAUCAGUCGAAGAUACCAGCUGGCUGCAACUGUUUAUUAAAAACACAGCACUGUGCAAACACGAAAGUGGACGUAUACGGUGUGACGCCUGCCCGGUGCCGGAAGGUUAAUUGAUGGGGUUAGCCGCAAGGCGAAGCUCUUGAUCGAAGCCCCGGUAAACGGCGGCCGUAACUAUAACGGUCCUAAGGUAGCGAAAUUCCUUGUCGGGUAAGUUCCGACCUGCACGAAUGGCGUAAUGAUGGCCAGGCUGUCUCCACCCGAGACUCAGUGAAAUUGAACUCGCUGUGAAGAUGCAGUGUACCCGCGGCAAGACGGAAAGACCCCGUGAACCUUUACUAUAGCUUGACACUGAACAUUGAGCCUUGAUGUGUAGGAUAGGUGGGAGGCUUUGAAGUGUGGACGCCAGUCUGCAUGGAGCCGACCUUGAAAUACCACCCUUUAAUGUUUGAUGUUCUAACGUUGACCCGUAAUCCGGGUUGCGGACAGUGUCUGGUGGGUAGUUUGACUGGGGCGGUCUCCUCCUAAAGAGUAACGGAGGAGCACGAAGGUUGGCUAAUCCUGGUCGGACAUCAGGAGGUUAGUGCAAUGGCAUAAGCCAGCUUGACUGCGAGCGUGACGGCGCGAGCAGGUGCGAAAGCAGGUCAUAGUGAUCCGGUGGUUCUGAAUGGAAGGGCCAUCGCUCAACGGAUAAAAGGUACUCCGGGGAUAACAGGCUGAUACCGCCCAAGAGUUCAUAUCGACGGCGGUGUUUGGCACCUCGAUGUCGGCUCAUCACAUCCUGGGGCUGAAGUAGGUCCCAAGGGUAUGGCUGUUCGCCAUUUAAAGUGGUACGCGAGCUGGGUUUAGAACGUCGUGAGACAGUUCGGUCCCUAUCUGCCGUGGGCGCUGGAGAACUGAGGGGGGCUGCUCCUAGUACGAGAGGACCGGAGUGGACGCAUCACUGGUGUUCGGGUUGUCAUGCCAAUGGCACUGCCCGGUAGCUAAAUGCGGAAGAGAUAAGUGCUGAAAGCAUCUAAGCACGAAACUUGCCCCGAGAUGAGUUCUCCCUGACUCCUUGAGAGUCCUGAAGGAACGUUGAAGACGACGACGUUGAUAGGCCGGGUGUGUAAGCGCAGCGAUGCGUUGAGCUAACCGGUACUAAUGAACCGUGAGGCUUAACCUUAC